ACACUCCUACGGGAGGCAGCAGUGGGGAAUAUUGCACAAUGGGCGCAAGCCUGAUGCAGCCAUGCCGCGUGUAUGAAGAAGGCCUUCGGGUUGUAAAGUACUUUCAGCGGGGAGGAAGGCGAUAAGGUUAAUAACCUUGUUGAUUGACGUUACCCGCAGAAGAAGCACCGGCUAACUCCGUGCCAGCAGCCGCGGUAAUACGGAGGGUGCAAGCGUUAAUCGGAAUUACUGGGCGUAAAGCGCACGCAGGCGGUCUGUCAAGUCGGAUGUGAAAUCCCCGGGCUCAACCUGGGAACUGCAUUCGAAACGGGCAGGCUAGAGUCUUGUAGAGUGGGGUAGAAUUCCAGGUGUAGCGGUGAAAUGCGUAGAGAUCUGGAGGAAUACCGGUGGCGAAGGCGGCCCCCUGGACAAAGACUGACGCUCAGGUGCGAAAGCGUGGGGAGCAAACAGGAUUAGAUACCCUAGUAGUCCCAUGA
rnacentral:rRNA from 1 species